CUAGUACUCCCUCCGCCGAGAAAUACUUAUCGGAGAAAUGGAUGUAUCUAGACAUAUUUUAGUUCUAAAUACAUCCAUUUUUAUUUAUUUCUUCGACAAGUAUUUCCGGAUGAAGGGAGUAUUAA
rfam:Triticum aestivum genome assembly, contig: Triticum_aestivum_CS42_TGACv1_scaffold_226103_3B